GCAAACAGGAUUAGAUACCCUGGUAGUCCACACCGUAAACGUUGGGCACUAGGUGUGGGGAGGAAUCAACCCUUUCCGUGCCGUAGCUAACGCAUUAAGUGCCCCGCCUGGGGAGUACGGCCGCAAGGCUAAAACUCAAAGGAAUUGGCGGGGGCCCGCACAAGCGGCGGAGCAUGUUGCUUAAUUCGAGGCAACGCGAAGAACCUUACCUAGGUUGAACUACGCAGGAAUAGCCACAGAGAUGUGGUGUCCUUCGGGGCCUGCGAUAGGUGGUGCAUGGCUGUCAUCAGCUCGUGUCGUGAGAUGUUGGGUUAAGUCCCGCAACGAGCGCAACCCUUAUCCUAUGUUGCCAGCGCGUAAUGGCGGGGACUCGUGGGAGACUGCCGGGGUCAACUCGGAGGAAGGUGGGGACGACGUCAAGUCAUCAUGCCCCUUAUGUCUAGGGCUGCAAACAUGCUACAGUGGCUGGUACAAAGGGCUGCGAAACCGCGAGGUCGAGCGAAUCCCAAAAAGCCAGUCUCAGUUCGGAUUGAAGUCUGCAACUCGACUUCAUGAAGCUGGAGUCGCUAGUAAUCCCGGAUCAGCAACGCCGGGGUGAAUACGUUCCCGGGCCUUGUACACACCGCCCGUCACACCACGAAAGUUGGCAACACCCGAAGUCAGCGGCCGAACCCCUCGGGGACGGAGCCGCCGAAGGUGGGGUUAGCGAUUGGAAUCGAA
rnacentral:rRNA from 1 species